GGUCCCAUAGCUCAGUUGGUUAGAGCGUCGUACUAAUACUCCCCUGUCCUCGGACGGUGAGCAUCAAGUAAUGCGAAGGUCUUGGGUUCAACCCCCAAUGGGACCA
rnacentral:tRNA from 1 species